rnacentral:miRNA from 1 species
ACCACUCCCACAAACGUCUACGACCGCGCCUACAUAGUUUUGCAUGUUUACAAUUCUAAUUUUAAACAGCCAAUCAGGUUCUUGGUAACAAUUGCAAUUAAACGUCGAUUGGCUGUUUAAUUAAAAUUAGAAUUGUAAACAUGCAAAAAUAUGUAGGCGCGGUCGUAGACGUUUGUGGGAGUGGU